rnacentral:rRNA from 1 species
UACGUAGGGUGCAAGCGUUGUCCGGAAUUAUUGGGCGUAAAGAGCUCGUAGGCGGUCUGUCGCGUCGGCUGUGAAAUCCCGAGGCUCAACCUCGGGUCUGCAGUCGAUACGGGCAAACUUGAGUGUUGCAGGGGAGACUGGAAUUCCUGGUGUAGCGGUGAAAUGCGCAGAUAUCAGGAGGAACACCGGUGGCGAAGGCGGGUCUCUGGACAACAACUGACGCUGAGGAGCGAAAGCGUGGGGAGCGAACAGG